rnacentral:rRNA from 1 species
AUUGAACGCUGGCGGCAUGCUUUACACAUGCAAGUCGAACGGUAACAGGCCGCAAGGUGCUGACGAGUGGCGAACGGGUGAGUAAUGCAUCGGAACGUGCCCAGUCGUGGGGGAUAACGCAGCGAAAGCUGCGCUAAUACCGCAUACGAUCUACGGAUGAAAGCGGGGGACCGUAAGGCCUCGCGCGAUUGGAGCGGCCGAUGUCAGAUUAGGUAGUUGGUGGGGUAAAGGCUCACCAAGCCAACGAUCUGUAGCUGGUCUGAGAGGACGACCAGCCACACUGGGACUGAGACACGGCCCAGACUCCUACGGGAGGCAGCAGUGGGGAAUUUUGGACAAUGGGCGCAAGCCUGAUCCAGCAAUGCCGCGUGCAGGAAGAAGGCCUUCGGGUUGUAAACUGCUUUUGUACCAGAGAAAACCUACUCACGUGUGAGUAGCUGAUAGUAUGGUAAGAAUAAGCAUCGGCUAACUUCGUGCCAGCCGCCGCGGUAACAC